GACGGUACCUGAGGAAUAAGCAUCGGCUAACUCCGUGCCAGCAGCCGCGGUAAUACGGAGGAUGCAAGCGUUAUCCGGAAUGAUUGGGCGUAAAGGGUCCGCAGGUGGCAUUGUAAGUCUGCUGUUAAAGAGUUUGGCUCAACCAAAUAAAAGCAGUGGAAACUACAAAGCUAGAGUGUGGUCGGGGCAGAGGGAAUUCCUGGUGUAGCGGUGAAAUGCGUAGAUAUCAGGAAGAACACCGGUGGCGAAGGCGCUCUGCUAGGCCAAGACUGACACUGAGGGACGAAAGCUAGGGGAGCGAAUGGGAU
rnacentral:rRNA from 2 species